CUCGCCUGCCGCCAUGUAAACGUUCUUUGCUCCUGCUUCGUCUUCUGCCGUGAUUGUGAGGCCUCCCCAGCCAUGUGGAACUACUCAUCACUCACUGCAGAUGUUACUUUAAGACAUUCUGGAGCAGCGUCAUGUGCAGGAGAAAAUAGUAUCAUCUCAGCCUUCUAUGAAAUCAAGGCAAUAUGGUAAAGCCAAAAAGAUCUCAACUGCUGAAACCAGGAGCACAUUUCAAAGCUAUAUUGUCCAUAGAGGCUGAAAUGAAGAUGUCUAGCACACUUAAUUAUUAGACAACACGUGCUUCAUACUUUUUAUUCCGCUAUCAUAGUGAAGAAGAAUGUUAAAAUACAUAAAUUGCAUCUUUUUUAAUCAUAAAGAGAAUUAUAUGCAAAAAUGAAUAUUUCAACAAAUUAAAGUCAUAAUUUUUUAAAGACCCAUUUUAUUUAUUUAUUUUUUCCUUAAAAAUAUUUAUUUCAUUAAUCUAAAAUAAUUUUCUUGGUGAUUAUCAUGUCCAGAGGAAUAUUCUAGUUUGAGCUGCUUAUAUUUUUUUCAAAAUGUAAAAGGAAAUCCUCUCUGAGACCAUGUCUCUUUCACACUAAAAUUCAAAUAUAAAAUUGCUAAUAACUUUAAUUUGUUAAAGAUCUUAAUUUCUGAGUUUAAGAACCAUCUAUCAUUUAUAACAGGAAAUAAAAGAAAAUAAAAUGGACUCUAAUAA
rnacentral:lncRNA from 1 species